AUGAGCGGCGGAGGUGGGGGAGGGAGGGGGCCAGCGGCGGGACCGGUGCCUGCGUCCGCGAGGAAGCUGGUGCAGGGGCUCAAGGAGAUCGUGAGCCGCUCCGACUCAGAGAUCUACGCGGCGCUGCGCGACUGCGGCAUGGACCCUGACGAGGCGGUCAGCCGCCUCCUCUCCCAAGAUACUUUUCAAGAGGUAAAGAACAAGCGCGAUAAGAAAAAGGAGGUGAAUAAAGGUACACCUGAGCCAAGAUCCCGAGGAGCAAAUAACUCAAACAGUCGUGCUGCUAGAGUUGGCACAGAUCGUACUAACCGAAGCAGUUCAGUUCGGUCUGUAUCCGGCGGAGUUGAUAACGUGGCUUCAAGGUCAUCAAUAUUGGGACCUGGUGUUCCAUCAACCAAUUCCACUCAGAAGCCAACAGUUCCGAGUUCCUUUGCAAACAACGACGUGGUUCCUGAUGGAUUAUGCGGAGCAUCACAAUCAUCGUCAGGAUUUCAGCAGAAUUGGUGUGGGGUGCCUGGUCAGAUGUCAAUGGCUGAUAUAGUUAAAAUGGGCAGACCUCAAGGAAGGUCUUCUAGCAAGUCUACGGCUACGGCAGACAAAGCAUUUGCUGGUCAAAACCCAUCUUUGUCAAAUGAAACGAACCAUAACACAAAGCAAUCCGCAAGCACAGUCGCCCCGACAACAUUUGACCAAGGAUUUCCAGCUCUUCCAGAUCCCAUUCCCCAAUUUAUAAAUUCUAAUCACGCUUCGGCAGAAAGCCACCAAACACAUGAAAAUGUUUGGUUUCCACAGGACGGACCACCAUCACAAAAUCAAUUCACAGCCCCUGAGCCAUCUGGCGGCCCAUUAUCAUUUGUGGCAUCAUUGGAGUCAUCAGUGCUGGUUGCUGACGCCGUUAACUUGCAUGAGAAGUCUCACACAGAAGAUAACACCUCAAUUGUAAAGCAGACAGCAAUACCUUCUGAGAGACACUCGGAAGUUCUUCACGACAAAGUUCAAUUCGGUGAUGAAUUGUUGCAGAACUCAAGUACAUACCAAUCUCAAAUGCACUCAUUUGCCGAUGAAGUUGAGGUUUCCAACGUUGAUGUGGACUCAGCUGCAAUGAACUUUCAGCAUCUAAGCUUGCAAAAGGAAGAUCUAGCAGCAGCUAAUUCUGCUGAUGAUAAUCCACAACUUGAAAAUACAGACUGCGCGCAUCUGAGCUUUGGUAGUUUUGAAUCUGGUGCCUUCUCUGGGUUGCUUCCAUCCAAGGUCCCUAAAUAUAGUAUGGAAGAGGUGCCCAACUCAGAUGAAACUCCAGCAGUUGAUCAAAUAGAUAUCAGGAAUCAAGAUUACUAUGACAAUGGUGCUCUACAGUCAUCAGCAAAUGAGGAUGUUGAAACCAGAAUAGAUGUGUCUGGUCUUCAGUAUAACCCACCAUCAGUUUCAGAUCAUGUGUAUCCGAACACAACACAGCCAAGUAUAAUGGAGAGCCAACAAGGAAACGCUCAAGCACAACAGCUUUCUCAUUUUUCAAGCUUGCUGGCACAGCAAGCUAACACUCUGCAAAGCAACUUCUUGGGGUCAAAUCUUACCCAGCACCGGGAUUUUGACUUUUCACCGUUUUUAUCAGCACAGUCAGCUAUGAAAUAUAACCCAGCUGUGCCAACUACCAGUUACCCAAUCUCCAUGCAAGAGAAUUUAAACCAAGGGGGUUUCUCCAACACUCAAUCUACACAAAAUCCUCCCAGUACGAGCAUUCCAUCAGGGCUACCUCAACCUCAGCAAUUAUCUUUACAUCCGUACUCUCAGCCAACUCUACCCCUGGGGCCUUUUGCCAGUUUAGUCGGCUAUCCAUACUUGCCUCAAAACUACUAUGUACCACCACCAGCCUUCCAGCAAGCGUAUUCAAGUAAUGGACCUUUCCAUCAAUCUGAUGGUGGUGCUGCUGCAGUGCCUGGAUCUGCUAUGAAAUACUCGAUGCCGCAGUACAAGAGUGGCCUUCCUGUCACGAGCCCACCACAACAUUCAUCAGCAGUCUCUGGUUAUGGAGGCUUUGGAAGCUCAAGUAAUAUACCGAAUUUUGGCCAAAACCAGAGUGCCUCCCCUGCCACGACUAUGGGGAUUGAUGAAGCUUUAAGUUCACAGUUCAAAGAGGCCAAUCACUACAUGGCCCUACAGCAGAGCGACAACUCAGCGAUGUGGCUUCAUGGAGCUGCUGGUUCAAGAGCUGUUUCAGCUGUUCCACCUGGUAACUUUUAUGGCUUCCAGGGCCAGAGCGCGCAGGGUGGCUUCCGUGAGGUGCAACAGCCCUCUCAGUACGGUGGUCUUGGGUACCCGAGCUUCUACCAGUCGCAGAAUGGUAUGCAGCAGGAGCACCCGCAGAACUCUGCGGAGGGAAGCCUGAACAGCUCCCAGACUCCCCCGUCUCAGCCAUCACACCACAUGUGGCAGCACAGCUACUAA
rnacentral:rRNA from 1 species